rnacentral:RNase_P_RNA from 1 species
AAAUUCGAGUAAUCGCUGCGACGCUAGACGUCGUAGAGGAAAGUCCAUGCUCACACGGUUCUGCGAUGACCGUAGUGUUCGUGCUUACUGAAAAAAUAAGGUAAGGCAGCCUAAAAGCUGACGGCGGAAGGAAAACCUAAGUCUUUAUGAUAUGGUUGAAACUUCCUGAAAGUGCCACAGUGACGAUGCUUGCUUGGAAACAUGCAAGGUGGAACGAGGUAAACCCCACGAGUGAGAAACCCAAAUUAUGGUAGGGGCACUCUCCUGAAGGAAUUGAACGGAUGGAGGGACGAAAGCACGCUUUCGUAGAUAGAUGAUUACUACCCGGCCGUACGAGGCGUAAGCUGUUUGAGUACUCGGGAACAAAACAUGGCUUACUGAA